AACGCUAGCUACAGGCUUAACACAUGCAAGUCGAGGGGAAACGACAUCGAAAGCUUGCUUUUGAUGGGCGUCGACCGGCGCACGGGUGAGUAACGCGUAUCCAACCUGCCCACCACUUGGGGAUAACCUUGCGAAAGUAAGACUAAUACCCGAUGAUAUCCCACGAAGGCAUCCGAAUGGGAUUAAAGAUUUAUCGGUGAUGGAUGGGGAUGCGUCUGAUUAGCUUGUUGGCGGGGUAACGGCCCACCAAGGCUACGAUCAGUAGGGGUUCUGAGAGGAAGGUCCCCCACAUUGGAACUGAGACACGGUCCAAACUCCUACGGGAGGCAGCAGUGAGGAAUAUUGGUCAAUGGGCGAGAGCCUGAACCAGCCAAGUAGCGUGCAGGAUGACGGCCCUAUGGGUUGUAAACUGCUUUUAUAAGGGAAUAAAGUGGGUCUCGUGAGACUUUUUGCAUGUACCUUAUGAAUAAGGACCGGCUAAUUCCGUGCCAGCAGCCGCGGUAAUACGGAAGGUCCGGGCGUUAUCCGGAUUUAUUGGGUUUAAAGGGAGCGUAGGCCGUUUUUUAAGCGUGUUGUGAAAUGCCGCGGCUCAACCGUGGCACUGCAGCGCGAACUGGAUGACUUGAGUGCGCGGGAGGUAGGCGGAAUUCGUGGUGUAGCGGUGAAAUGCUUAGAUAUCACGAAGAACUCCGAUUG
rnacentral:rRNA from 1 species